CACGUAGUUAGCCGGCGCUUCUUCUGCAGGUACCGUCACUUUCGCUUCUUCCCUACUGAAAGAGGUUUACAACCCGAAGGCCGUCAUCCCUCACGCGGCGUCGCUGCAUCAGGCUUGCGCCCAUUGUGCAAUAUUCCCCACUGCUGCCUCCCGUAGGAGUCUGGGCCGUGUCUCAGUCCCAGUGUGGCCGGUCACCCUCUCAGGCCGGCUACCCGUCGUCGCCUUGGUAGGCCAUUACCCCACCAACAAGCUGAUAGGCCGCGAGUCCAUCCAAAACCACAAAAGCUUUCCACCAACCACCAUGCGAUGGAAGGUCAUAUCCGGUAUUAGACCCAGUUUCCCAGGCUUAUCCCAGAGUCAAGGGCAGGUUACUCACGUGUUACUCACCCGUUCGCCACUAAUCCACCCACAAGUGGGCAUCAUCGUUCGACUUGCAUGUGUUAAGCACGCCGCCAGCGUUCAUCCUGAGCCAGGAUCAAACUCU
rnacentral:rRNA from 1 species